rnacentral:rRNA from 1 species
CCUACGGGUGGCAGCAGUGAGGAAUAUUGGUCAAUGGGCGCGAGCCUGAACCAGCCAAGUCGCGUGAGGGAAGACGGUCCUAUGGAUUGUAAACCUCUUUUGUCGGGGAGCAAAAGACGCCACGCGUGGCGCUCCGCGAGUACCCGAAGAAAAAGCAUCGGCUAACUCCGUGCCAGCAGCCGCGGUAAUACGGAGGAUGCGAGCGUUAUCCGGAUUUAUUGGGCGUACAGGGGGAGCAGGCGGGCUGGAGGGUCCAUUGUUAAAAGUCAAGGGCUAAACCAUGUUGAGGCGUUGAAACCGGCAGGCUUGAGUGCUCGAGAGGUACGUGGAAUUCCAGGUGUAGCGGUGAAAUGCGUAGAUAUCUGGAAGAACACCAGUGGCGAAGGCGGCGAUCUGGG